UUGGGAAGGUGGGCACACAGAGCCUCAUAUAUCCCAAACUCACCUCAGACUCUGGCUGAGGAUGACCUUAAACUCCUGAUUCUCCUGCCCCACCUCCCAAGUGCUAGGAUGUUUUGGUGUAGGCUUGCUUUCUAAGGUUCCAGAGUGAAUGAAUUCUUUACCUCCUUUCUUACCUAUGUGACUCAGUAAAGCACCAAAUAAUUCAAGAAUAGAAAUAACAUUAUUGCCUGAUAGAGAAACUAGAGGGAAGUGAGACAUUACCAUUCACAGUACUUCAGAGCUGGAAAAUGCUUCCUCCAACAACAUCUUUAGAAUCAAAGAUAAUUCCAUAGGAUUCUGAUUGAAUGGAAGUUUUGGCAAGAGUGUGAUGUUGUGGGUGAAUUCUGAUGGAAAAGUUCCCUUUAGCACUGGUGUAAUGAGUCUUGGGAUCCAUUUGUGACAGCGCUGAUGUGCUUUUGUUCUGUUGUUUGAAUCUUUUUGUAAUGAGAUUGCAAGUCACCAGGACUGGCCCUACACUCCUGAGGUGUCUGAGGCUGUCCUUGAAUCCCAGUCUUUCUGUCUCCACCCCCUAAAUGCUCGGAUGAAAGGACCACACUGCCCUCCUGGCUUUGCAUUACUUGUUUAGAAAGGAAUACAGAGAGAAAGUUUGGUUUAAAGACAAGAUUGACUUCUGAAUUUGGGUGAGAAUUACUGUAAUCGCUGCCAGUUCUCCCCUUCACAAUGAAGAUGAGAAACCUCAGGGCCAAGACAUGGCUCAGAGGGUAAUAGCACCUGCUGCUCUUGCAAAGGACUGGAGGUGUGUUCCCAGGACCUACAUCAGGGCUCACAAACCCUGUCACUGCAGCCCCAGGGGAUUCAACUCUGUUUUCUGGCCUCCUUGGGCACUCUCCACUAAUACGUGCACAUAUCAUUUAAAAUU